CGCGGCGCUCGCGCUCGCGGUCGCGCAGCCUAGCCUGCUGGGGCCGGGGGGCGGGGCGGCCGCAGCGCGGCGCUUCCGCUUUCCACGCCCCAGCCGGUGACCGGUUCGAUCUGGCUCGGGCCACCCUGACACCUUUCCAGUGACGUGUCUUUGCAGGGAUGUUCAAUCCAAAUGAAACAUAAUGAAAUGAAGUGUUGGCUGCUGGCUCAGAGACAGUGGUGACCAUUAGAGAACAAAGCUGGCUGGGAGCCUGCUCUUAUCUAUGGCUUAGUUACCUUUAUACAACCUCAUGGGAUUUAUCUUCUAAUGGCAUAUGUUGUUUUCAGCCAAAUUCAUUGCUAACUGAUAUGGUUCCUGUGGUUUUUCUCUGAAGAAAGAGUUAAUGACUCUAUUUUCUAAUCCCUCAACUCCUAUAGAAUUACUUUAUAGAGAGGCACAUAAAUUCACUAGAGCUGUAAUGGAAAAAAAAAUCUAUGUUACUUUGAAA